rnacentral:sRNA from 1 species
AAAGCAGGAAGAUCGCUUGAGCCCAGGAGGUCGAGGCUGCAGUGAGCCGUGACUUCAGCCUGCACUUCAGCCUGGAGUUGAUGCAGACAGAGUUACAUCAUGUCCGCACUCUCAAAAUCAUGAGUGAUGUGUACAGCCGGGGGAUGAUGAUAGAUCUGCUUUUUGAGCAGCAGAUGGUAGAAAAGCUGUUCCCCUGUUUGGAUGAGCUGAUCAGUAUCCAUAGCCAAUUCUUUCAGAGGAUUCUGGAGCGGAAGAAGGAGUCUCUGGUGGAUAAAAGUGAAAAGAACUUUCUCAUCAAGAGGAUAGGGGAUGUACUUGUAAA